UCUAUGAUUAAGUUAAUUGUUUUUGUUCGGUAAGGCUGAUAGAAGGAAUUUACUUCAAUGUUUUUCGUCUUGAAAGAUUAUGCAGAGCAAGAAUGGUAAUACAAUUGUGGACUGUUCCACUGUAGGAGGAAACAUAAUGUUAGAAGGUAAAGUAAAAUGGUUCAACGCUGAAAAAGGUUUCGGAUUCAUCGAAGUUGAAGGACAAGACGAUGUAUUCGUACACUUCUCUGCUAUCCAAGGCGAAGGUUUCAAAUCUUUAGAAGAAGGUCAAACAGUAACUUUCGAAAUCGAGCAAGGCGCUCGUGGACCUCAAGCAACUAACGUUCAAAAGUAAUUUUGACAUAAGUUGAGAAAAAGGCUCUCCAUCUGGAGAGUCUUUUUUU
rnacentral:other from 1 species